CGGACGGGUGAGUAAUGUCUGGGAAACUGCCCGAUGGAGGGGGAUAACUACUGGAAACAGUAGCUAAUACCGCAUAACGUCGCAAGACCAAAGAGGGGGACCUUCGGGCCUCUUGCCAUCGGAUGUGCCCAGAUGGGAUUAGCUAGUAGGUGGGGUAACGGCUCACCUAGGCGACGAUCCCUAGCUGGUCUGAGAGGAUGACCAGCCACACUGGAACUGAGACACGGUCCAG
rnacentral:rRNA from 1 species